GUCGAAUGCUCCGCAGGGGCAUGGCGAACGAGGUAGUAACACGUGGGAAUUUCCCCCAGAGUCGAGGAUAACCCGGCGAAAGCCGGAGCAAUACCCGAUAGUCUCUAUGGAGUAAAGUCGUAAGACGCUCUGGGAAAAGCCUGCGAAGUAUCAGCUAGUUGGUAGGGUAAUGGCCUACCAAGGCGAUGACGCUUAGGGGAGCUGAGAGGCUGACCCCCACCGAUGGGACUGAGAUACGGCCCAUACACCUACGGGUGGCUGCAGUCGAGAAUCUUCCGCAAUGGACGAAAGUCUGA
rnacentral:rRNA from 1 species